rnacentral:lncRNA from 1 species
GUCUGCUCUUUGUUCGGGUUAUUGUCUCUUUGAUAUGUUCGCCGUUUCCAUUCUCAAUUGUAUUCUCUAUUUUUACUUCUAAAUAAAUAGUAGAGGAUAAUCUCAAGUCACUUAAUCAACAUUAUCUAUCCCCCCCCCUACGCCUAUACAACCCAUCUCACUCUCUGCCUAAUUCACAUAUCUUUGAGACGAUAACAACAUUAUCAGCGACGACACA